GGGACGAACGCUGGCGGCGUGCUUAACACAUGCAAGUCGAGCGGAAAGGCCCUUCGGGGUACUCGAGCGGCGAACGGGUGAGUAACACGUGAGUAAUCUGCCCCUAGCUCUGGGAUAGCUCCGGGAAACCGGGAUUAAAUACCGGAUAUGACCACUUUAGACAUCUGCUGUGGUGGAAAGAAUUUCGGCUAGGGAUGAGCUCGCGGCCUAUCAGCUUGUUGGUGGGGUAACGGCCUACCAAGGCGACGACGGGUAGCCGGCCUGAGAGGGCGACCGGCCACACUGGGACUGAGACACGGCCCAGACUCCUACGGGAGGCAGCAGUGGGGAAUAUUGCGCAAUGGGCGAAAGCCUGACGCAGCGACGCCGCGUGGGGGAUGAAGGCCUUCGGGUUGUAAACCCCUUUCAGCAGGGACGAAGCGAAAGUGACGGUACCUGCAGAAGAAGCGCCGGCUAACACGUGCCAGCAGCCGC
rnacentral:rRNA from 1 species